rnacentral:lncRNA from 1 species
AACAAUAAAUAGAGGUCUAACUUUCUAUCUCUUUCCCUAAUGACGAUGGAUCAAAGGAGUUGCUUGGAGUGAUUGGCUCUCCAACAGAAUCUCUAUCUGCUCUAUAUAGGACCUUAUUUGUUUCUACAUCGUUAUUGAUAUAAUAUAUUUCUUUUGAAAACAACUCUUCUUAAAAAAAUCAAUCAAUAGGUUCCAUAAAUGAUGAAUUUUGAGGUCUCUAACAUUCCAUGUCUCUCCUUUUAAGUAGUAUUAUAUUAGGGGAUAUCUCUCCAUCCCGAUCCAAGGAGUUGGACCAUUGCAUUUCUCAUUUUUUGCAUGUGCUUUCCACUCAUUUUUGCAUAUGUUGUUGCAUGCCAAUUUUUUUCUAAAAGCCGUGAUGUCUUUUAAAAUUCCAAAAUAGAGCUACCAGAAGAAAAAGAAAAGGGAUGAGCAACCGUGCUAAUGAGACCAAGAGGCAUCAGUUGGAGUCUAUUGAUGGAGUUGAUGGAGUGGUUCAGUUGAUGGAGUCAAUAAUUCGACAAAUUUAGGAUGGGAGGACAUCUUUAAUCGUCGGUAAGUGGUUUUGAGGCAAAGGCAGAAAAUCAUCCCUACAAAAAUCUCAUAAACUACCCUAGCGCCGUCAAGGUCGGAGGAAAGUUGUACGAAAGAGAUGGCUUGUCGACUCAAGCGUUGAUUUGUUCAGCUAAGUUUUCUUAUGUUUGUUUUUAUUUCAAACUAAAGGAGCCUAGAUUUUAUUCUUUGAAUUCCAGUCAAACACAUAUUGCCAAUAUCGCCAAGUGCCUUUUGAUCAAGGGAACCUUGUUUUAUUUUUUUCUUCGGUUCAGGAAAUUUUUAGUUAAGACUUUGGUGCUGAUUGUCAAUUAUUCUUUAGGAUAUCUAGAGGAGUUGGAAUGAACGAUACAAAUGUUGAAAUACAUGUCAAAUAGAAGGGGAAACAAAAAUAAGAUCGUAAAACGUGAACACAAUAAAAAAUAGUGUUUGAUUGGAAAUAAAUUUAGUAUUACUAUCUGUGCUAAAAAACUCAAUCCAAAACCUAAAUUUUAGAUUACCUUUCCAUGGAUUUCAAUUUAAUUACAAGUGUUCAAACAGCCGACUUUUAUGAAAUUCCUUUUUCAAGCCAAGCAAAGGGUUUAAUAUUAAUUUUCCGCUGAUGUAAAUGUUAAAAGAACAAGCCUUCCCUUUGAUGCCGACCAAAGGAAAAAAAAGAUCUACAAAAUUAUCAAUUUGAAGCGUAGGGGAGAGUUUUAUUACUGGUUUGGCCUAAACAUAGGCAAAGAAAUGGAAAGUACCUAUAUUAUAUUGAGGAUCCCAAUUGAUC